GGGCAACAGAGCUAGAGGUGUUUGUCUCUGGGCUGCAAGCGAUAUCUCUGAUCAUUUUGGACCCACUACUCUAAUAUUCUCAUUGCCGUGGCUGCUGCACUUCCACAUUUCAUUUCAGGUUGUAGGUGGUUGGUCUGCCUUUAUAGAAGCAUUUCAUUUGAGUAUGCAUUUCAAUUCUCAACAACUGACUUUGCCAAUUAUUCAUCCACAACUUAUCUGCAUAGAGAAGACCAGCACACAGGGAGAGUAAUGUCGAGUAGCCAUUGUGGUAGCCUGCUUUUCUCAGGGGCACGCAGGUGAACAACUGAGACAUACAGACAUUUAUAUUUUCAUAUCGUCAUGGAGACCAAAAGUGAUUCCAAUGAUUCUGUGCAUUAUUAUGGAAUAAUUUGUCUCCUCUGAAGUCAGCCUUUCAGUGAUAUAUGCCGUGGAUAGAAAAGAUUAAAGAAGUGGGCCGAAGAGGGUCUAUUUAUGUAAUGUGACAAGUCCAUACACAAAGGAGGAUGAUGUCAUCAUGUAAGUCAUUUAGAGGUUCUGGCAAGUCCACGGGUGGUAAACCAUGGCUGUAGUCGACUCUCAAAAGUUGGGCUGCCUGUUCCUGGGGAAAAAAUCUUAUUUAUGUUUUUUCAAGAAACAUUGGGGUUAAGAUGGGAUUCACUAAGGCUAAUAACUACCACUCUUGUGGCUCUGCAAGAAGCAAAGACAAGUAGUCAACUCUUAGUUUCUCCAUCUGCAAAUUGGGAUUUGGAUCCUCUAAAGAUGAGAAUGACUAAGAAAGUACCCUCCUCCCUGGCUGGGCCCACUGAACCAUCUCUCUGAGCUGUCAACAUCUUCCCGCUUUGACCUUCCAGUUUUAAUUUGGGAGAAGCGAGGCCAUUGCUGUUGUUGAGAGUUAGUAGCACAUUGCUUGGCCUUAGGAGAGGUCAUUCGGGUGUCGUGUUCUCAUAGAAAUUUGGAUUAAAGUAGCAAUGUGCCUUUAUUUUUCUGUGAUUGUUUCUUUGGGAAAGUAAGUUUCAAUUUUAAAUGAUGAAAAUUUGUAGGCCAACUGAAUACAGUGCAUAGCCAUCUCGUAUUUCCGUCGCUCAGCUUCCUCUUGUUGUUCUUAUGCAUGGUUCUGAUGUUGGUCGAAACUAAGAAAGCAAAACUGGUCGAGGACUAUUGAUUGAAUUCCAGUCUUUUUAGACUUCACCAGUUCCCCAUUUCUGUCCCAGCUGUCAUCUCUUUCCAUUUAGUAAUUAUCUCAUCAGUCUGUACACGGGGACAGGCGUGUGCUUGUGGUGGAGGGUAAAGUCCAUCAGAUUCACCCCUGCUGAGUCUGGGACUUGGAGCUAGUUACCCUCAUGGAGGCUCCAAACUCCCUGCAAGAUCAUCCUGUGUCAAGUGAGAACCAAGCCCGGCUGCCCAUCUGCCAGAAAGGGACACCGAUUGGCGUUGUCUUUCCUUGGCAGAGUUUAUGCCACCAAGACAACCAGGAAGGAAAAUAAUCCCUCACUGGUUCCCAUUUGCAUUUGCCAAACCUGAGAUGACUCUGCUGAGCAGGAAAGAAAAAAGAGGGAAAGGACCAAUCCAGCAAACUCUUGGAAUAGAAGGACGCCCCGUGGGAAUCAAAGGGCAGUCCAGCACUUACAAGAGCCCAGUGCUAAAGGAAUGUGCCGUUCAGCUGAGAUGGAGGUGACCCUGAGGCACGGAAGAACGGGAGGGAGCCUGCACGCCUGCUCAGAAGGAUGCCUGGCCAUCACCCCUUCCAGCCAGGAGCCUCUUCCUCCACAGCGGGCCGUCCCUGGCUUCGCCACCCACUGCCUUUCCCUGCUGCCUGCUCUGCUCUCCCCUGUCCCAACUUCCACACUGUCUCCCUCCCUCAGCAGGACACCAAUCCUGCGAGCUUGCAAAAGCCAAACAAAACUGGGACUCACAAAUAUGUAACUGUUUUCCUUAGCUCGUGGCAUAAAUCAAAAAAAAAAAAAAAAAAAAAAAAAAAAAAAAGGAGAGAGAGUGAGAGAGAGAGAGAGAGGGAGAGAGAGAGAAUUCUGUUAGCACAGGGCUCCGAAGUGUUUAUUUUUUUGCCAGCUGCAACAUGCUACCCUCACAGGGGAUCACCUAAAACCAGUUAUGGUUUAGGUUGGAGGGGGAUGUCAAACUUAAGCUGCGGGCUUGGCCUCUCUCAAUGAAUUACGACCUUGUCAAGAACCUAUUUUUUUAAAUCAAUGCAGGUUUUCUAUCAAAUCAAAUACCUGCACACUAAAUUAUAUUUUUGGUGCCAGGCUGGCUCUCCAAAACUUUUUUUUUUUUUCCUUUGCUCGUUUUUUCCAGCCUGCUCCC